CAGCACCUCAAGUGGUCAGGAUGAUUAUUGGGCCUAAAGCAUCCGUAGCCGGCUCUGUAAGUUUUCGGUUAAAUCUGUACGCUCAUCGUACAGGCUGCCGGGAAUACUGCAGCGCUAGGGAGUGGGAGAGGUAGACGGUACUCGGUAGGAAGGGGUAAAAUCCUUUGAUCUAUUGAUGACCACCUGUGGCGAAGGCGGUCUACCAGAACACGUCCGACGGUGAGGGAUGAAAGCUGGGGGAGCAAACCGGAUUAGAUACCCGCGUAGUCC
rnacentral:rRNA from 1 species